UUUAGUGUCAGUUGUUUUCCGUUUCCAAAUUUAUGUCUACGAAAUCUACAAAAUGUUUAGCCCAUCUACAUUUUCCAAGUAAGCUUACACUAUUUGUUAGUUUUAAACACAUACAACAACAACAUUGAAUCUCAACAAAUAAAUCGCAAAUCUCUUGAUUGGAGGGAUGAAAGCGCAGUUGCAAUUAAGAUAUAAAGCCGAUGAGAAGCUCAAUAAUUGAUGCAUUAAUUGGAAUUUAUUACACUUCACCCAAAAUGUUUGAGUAACCUUUUAACUUUUGGAAAAGAAGUAACACAUUUAAGAUAACUUAAAGAUAUUAUUUCAAUGAACCAAGUGGAAAACGUUCGUCUCAGAAGUUGAGUGUGAGAAUAUAAGAAUCUCAACAUUUAAUUUACCACCUCCCAGGCACCCACAUCAUCGCACAUCAUCAUCUUAAGCGGCAAAGGGCAUAAUGCCCGAAUCCAGAAGUGGACAAAAAUUGAAUCUCCCGGCAUAUGGUUAUAAUCCCGCCAAGCGUAUUAGCAACUUGGCCGGGGAAUGGAAAAUGGGAAAUUGGGGGGAGUGUAGAGAACGUUUCAAUUCGAAUACAUGCGGGAUGAUAGUAGUUCAGAUGACCGGCUUAGUCAGUAAUCAACUGCAGUUCGGGGUGGAAAGUGCCAAAUGGAAAGUGGGCGGGGAAAUCGCUCUUCUUGUUGCGGAAUUGACGCGCACCAAUACAUGGCCACUGUGCUCCGUUACGCACAUGAGGGCGAUCUCUCACACACACACACACACGCUUGCACACACACACUCGCAGCGGAGCACACACACAGGGAGAGUAAUGAAUUGAUGGUUAUUUUCAAAAAUCCAACGACUGUCCGCGCGAUCACUGCACAAAUCAGUUGUGGAAUCGCCCUCGAGCGGCAAUGUUCUCCGCGUUCUCGAACUCGGACCUCAGAUCGCUGAUCUUGGACUCCCGAAACCCGUGUGAAAUCUAUGUAUAUCUAUGCAACAUCCACCGAGGAAUAGUUGAAAUCGGUGCUUCACACUAUCUGGCUCUUGUCGGCUUGAGCUGCUCAUCAAUUAAAAAUUCCAUAUUAGUAUGCACGAAAAUAUAUAAAAUAUACGCCUGAGAUGGGCGACAACUGGUCAAUUCUCCGCUCGGGGUUAAGACCCUACCCAAGGCGCGAUAAUCGCAAUCAAAGUUCUCGUCGCCGAGCGCCAACCGCAGUGCCUACAGCAACAUCAGCGAUGAGUCUUCCCGGCGAGUGGAUCUGAAUCUCUAUCUCCCACCCACUCUCUUCCUUGGAUUCUCCAGAACGCCGAAAACUUGGUGCCACGGAACCCGAAGAUGUCUCGAGAUCAAGGGUGAAUAUUGGAUGUUUAAACUAGAUGUAUAGUGCUAGAUGUACGAUGUACUUACCAAGUUCGCUUUCCUAAGUACUAGUGCCGCAGGAGUUAGGUUCGUGUCCGCAAUACCUCCUGCUGCCCAAGUGCUUAUUAAAGCGGCGAGUUGCCCAGCAAAAGAAUACACAGUGCGCAGUGCUUCGAUUCCAUUUAGUUAUAAUUUAAUUGUAUUUAAUAUUUCUCCUAAUAGUUACAAAAACUAGGCUUGACAAAUUAUACUAAUCUUUGCGUUUGCUGUUCGUAGCGCACGAGUAUCGCCUGCCGCCGCAUACAUUUCGGGAUUAAGUGGCAGCAAUUCUCUAAGAUACAUACACUUUUUAUUCAGAUACAUAUAUGUACUAUCCUCAAGCUGUAAGGUGCCCGCUCCAGGGAAGAAACGCCGCUGUAACCUCAUCCUGAGUUUAGAAUUCAGGCCUGAGAGUUUCGAGUGCCAAAGUGCGAGGCUCUGGAAGGGACACACACUCUUCGGAUCGCUCCGAAGAUUUUGUACAUAUGUUGCGGCAUUGCAAUUGUUCUAUAAAUGCUUAAUUUAAUCCUAGAUGGGGGCAACACAACGUACAUCGGAGCGAACGGCACAUUUCGUCCUCACAAUAAAUUAUGAACUAUGUUAUAUA